UUUUUUUUUUUGGUGAGAGGGGGAGAGUAGGGCCGGGCAUAUUGGUAUAUAUUGGUAAUACCAAUAGUCCGAAUCGAAAAAAAUUUAUUUGGGUUAAUGAUUCGGUAACGGUUUAGCAUUAUUUUGCUAUUGGGCUACCGAUUCGGAUCUCGGUUUGCCCAAUUUUAUUAACGGUUUAACGAAUAACCCAAUAAACUUUAUCAAAAUACGAUAUUAUCCUUAGGUAUAUAAAUUUUCCCGUUCUCACAAUUCUCUAUCUACUGUUGUAACCCUCCCAAAUUUGUCAUUCAACACAUAGAGAAACAAUAUUGUAAGGUUUAUCAUAUUCUUUGAGAGGGUUACAAAAAUAAGAAAGUUUAUCAUAUUCUUUGUACAGUACACAUUAUACUUCAUUACUUCUUCCCUCUAGAAUCUUGAUUGAGUUAUUCUAUCGGGUAAAUCGAUAAACCGAAUCGAUAAUCGACUUAGUUAUCGGUUUAACAUAUUUAUAAACCGAUAACCGAUAUGUCAAACGGAUAAUAUUUACAAUCGAACCGAACCGACCAGCCCAGCCCGGGGAGAAGGGACGAGGGAAGCCUUGCUUGCGGGAAACAAAACUAUGUUUAGCGCAUACAUAAUUAUAAUUCCCUAUUAUUUGCAUUAACUUUAUUUUAUCUCCAUUUGUGAAAUAAAACUUAAAUAUCCUAUGAUUAACUUAUUCAAAUAAUUUAAAUGCAUUGAUAAAGACCCAAAAAAAAGAGUCAAAUUAGACAUAAUAAAAGAUACAAGCUAAAAAAAUUGAUGAUUAGAGCUAAAUUUCUAAGAUGGGAACAUAAUGGCAGAAAUAAAAAGUGGCUCCACGAGAAGUAUUAUGUACUCCAUGAGAAAAUGGUAGCAUAAAACGAGUUGAAUCUGAAAAAAUAAUAAAGAAUCGGUGUACAUUUAAGUGCAAUUUAAUCUAUUUAUACAAUAUAGUUUCCUUACAAAAAACAAUAAAAAGGGAACCUUUAUAUAAAUUUUGGAGCUAUAACAAAUUGAGAAGAGAAGAACAAGAUGGAUGCAUGGGAUCAAUAGCUGAUAGUUAUGCCUUUUCUUUAUUGAAAGGUUAAGUCUGCCUAUAAUAAAGAUAUUUAAAUGUGAAUAAUUUCUCAGCUCGUAUUUAUCUUCAUUUAUGAAUUUAUCAAAUUAACCCAAAGAAAAUGCAAUACCACACAUGACUCCAUCUAGAUCAAGAGUGACAGUAAGUUACCUAUUUACUUUCUUCCAAAAUAAAACACAUUGGAGGGAGGGAAGGAAAUCAUAUGCUAACUAUAAUUACGAUGAAUUAACCAAAAUUAUGAUAGAACUAGUGAAUUUGCUGCGCUUCGUGCGGUUAUUUUGUAAAAGGUAUUAAUGAAUUAAUGAGCUAAUAUUUUUUAAAAGUGAAUUGAGGUAAAAGAAAGAAAAAACAUGAGAAUUAUUGGUCUCGCCUAUAAAUAUCAUGUUAAUGUCUAUUGAAAUUAUAGUAACAAUAAUGUAGGCAAGUAAAAUUACAUCUUUUUUGUUAUAACAAUUUGAUAAAACUCAAUUGUUCGUCGUACAUCAUCAGUGUUUCACUAUUCAUACUCCUAAAAUUUUACCAAAUGUGCUUCGGAAAAGAUUUGAAAGUCUUCUCGUUUUAGGAGAAGAUAAAUUAAAAAGAAAAAUAUUUUCUACUAAUUUUAGAACACUAUUAAAGGCUUUUAGAGAUUUUAGAAUCCUUUUUUAAUAUUUUCCUAUUAUAGUAGGUAUAUUUGGUUAUAUUCCUUAAAAAGUACGUUCGUUUUCUAUAUUUUCAUAAGUAUUUGAGUAAAGGAUACUUGCAUUUAGUAUUUAUUUGAUUGUAUUCCUAGAAGAUCAAUUUCUUAAAAAUAUAUGCAUAUAAGACGUGAUUUAUAUUUCCUCUAUUAUAGAGUGAGUUUUAUUUCCAAUUUUCCCUUCUUUAUUUUCUUCUCACCCCCCCCCCCCCCACACACACACACGAUUCUUCUUUCCCUUUCCCCCUUCUUUUCUUACUCAUUUCUUCCUUCUCUUUGAUUCUCUCGUUCUUAUUGUACCUCUUUGUUAUUGCACUUCAGAUAUUUAACAUUUGUUAUUCUUUCUAAAAUAAUCAAAUUUAUUCUUCUUUUUCCUCUUGCUAAUUUUCGGGAAAAAAACUGAAAAAUACAUUUUUUUUUUCCUCAAAUAGUUUUUGCUUUCCAUGUUAUACUCUCUUCAUUAUUUCAUAUAUAGUCAUCUUGCUCCCAUCAAUUUUCGCCAAUAAGUACCUCCUUUUUUUUAAUUGUAGAACCCAGUAUGUAAAAAAUAUUGUAAAUCAGAAUCCGUGAGUUAAAAAAUCUGACACUAUAUUUGAAUACAAACAAAAUUAAAUUUUGUUGGAUAAGUAUUAUACAAAUAGUAAAUUUUCUUUUAUAAAUUGCACUAUCAAUAAGAGGACAGAAUAUGUGUGAUAAGAUGUACUUCAAGUUCAUCAUGCACUAAAAAGAAAGAGAAACGUUUCUCCAUAAAGGCAUAACCAAAUUGAUCAGAAUUCAUAAUAAUGGAAAUGUUCAAAUAAAAAUUGCCCUAAACACCGCCUUGCUUAAAAAUUUAUUUUAUAGAGGCAAAUACUUCACCCACUAUUUCAAAAUCAAAGGAGAAAGAGAAGGGAAAGGGGGGGGGGGGGGGGGGAGUAGGAGAUAGUUGAACAAUUUUUUUUGUACUUAAAACCUUAUAUAUAGUUUAAGUGUAAAUAAGAGAAUUAAUAAAAACAAAACAUACAACCAUAAAAUUAAUUGAUCUUCAUUUCUUUUUCACAUAAAAUUAAAUUUGUAGGCGAAGAUUUUAUUUUGAUCAACCAACACUUCAGGCAAAAGAUAAUGAUACAUCAAUUAUCAUUCUCAUAAUAGACUUAAACUCCUCUAAAUCACAAUUAUUCCAGAAAAUGUACAUUAGACAACGAUUUAACAAUAUCCUUAGAAAUUAUGAAAUAAACUAAAUGUAGCAACUAAGCACACUACUAAUUAUCAACUUGCAAAAAACACAAAACUAAAAUCAAUGAAAUUAAAAAGGAGAAAGAAAACAUUACAGGCAAAAUAUAAUACAACAUCAAUUACCACUCCUCAUGAUAGACUUAAACGUCUUCUGAAUUGCAAGUGCAAUUGCUCCAGAAAAUACAAUUUAGAAAACGGCUUAACAUUAUUAUCCAUGAAACAAAUUAAUCCAAAUGCAACAACUACACACAACAUAAUCAACCUGCAAAAAACACAAAAACAAAAUCAAAGAAAAAAAAGGAGAAAGAAAACAUCAGAAUCUUAUAAUACAUUAAGCACAAUAAUAUUCUAAUUUUUUGCAAUUAAAGCAGGAAAAGGCUUCAAACAUAUUUCAAAAUGACAAUUAUUUCCGAUUAAGAAUUAAAAAAAGUAAAAGAAAUAAAAAAGCAAAGAUGAUUAGUAACAAUUAACGUUACAAAUUUCAACCUUUUCGACUAAAAAGGUCUACAAGAUACACACACAAAAAAGAAGAAAAAAGAACAACUCAUAAGAGAACGUAGGAAAGAAGAACGAAAAACGGUAAGAAAUUAGGAAGGAAGAGGUGGAAUUUUAGGAGAAGAAAUAAAUAGUAGUAGUAGUAGUAGUAGUGAGGAAAGAUAUAAAUGAGUUUAUUAUGUUGGUAACGGCUAAAGACAUGGUAGAAAGAAAAGUGAAAGGACGUGAUGUUUGGAUUUUUUAAUUAAGUGAUUGUUGGAAUUUGUUAAAGAAGAAUACUUCAUUUUUAAAUAGCAUAUAAAUAGGGAAAAGGGGAUAAAAGCCAAAAAGAAGGAGAAAAUAGAUAAAUAAGAUCUUUGGCCAAAGAAAAGUGUCAAGUCAUCUCCCAUUGUCCUAACUUUAUAUAUAUAGAUUUACUUGGCCACCUUUAGAAAUUAGGAUAAAGCUAACUAGAAUUAUUCCUAUUUAUCUUUCAAAGAUUAGUAGACAACCCAAAUUCUUCUAAAUUUUCACUAAAAUUAAUAGCAAAAGUGCUAUUUUUUUUUUUUGCCAAAAGCACUUUUGGCCAAAAAUUGAGAUGUUUGGCCAAGCUUUUGGAAGAAAAAAGAAAGUUCUUUUGAGGAGAAGCAGAAUAGUUUUGGAGGAGCUAAAAAAAGUAGCUUCUCUCCAAAAGCACUUUUUUGAGAAGCACUUUUGAGAAAAAUACACUUAGAACAGUUUUUUUAAAGCUCGGCCAAACACUAAUUGCCGCUCAGAAGUGCUUUUCAAACUAAUUAGCGAAACACAAACUGCUUCUCGCCAAAAAUACUUUUGAGAAAAACACUUUUGAAAAAAACAAUUCUCAAAAUAAGCUGAUUUUUGCAGCUUGGCCAAACGGGCUAUAAGAUAGCGACAGCACACGGAGUUUUGAUCACAGCAAUACAGUUCAUUGAUAAUGUUAAGUACAAUUCAUAAUAAUGUUACAACAGUGCCAAGAUUGACAAAGUACUUCUGAAGAAAUACAUUAAAGAUAAGAAAAGCACUUCCACUGAUAAUAAGAUAGUGGAACAAUUGCAGACAACGUAAGAGGUGAAGAAUGUUAAACUUAAAAUGUUAUUGUUCCCCAGUCUUCAGAAACUUGCAUUCUAUUUAGUGUUUAGUUGAAUAAUUAGCAUUCACAUUGCGGCAUCAAGGAAAGCAUCAGAGACAUCAAGUUCCAUGUUCAGAUUUCUGGCUGAAGGCAAUCCUGCAACCACUUCAUCUUCGAUUUCACACUCGUUUGUUCCUCUUCUGAUCUUAAAGUAACCAUCCUGCCAUGAACACAAAUAUACAUCUCAGAAGAAUGAUAUAUGCUCCACUCAAUUAGCACGUCUUCAAGAAGUAGCAUUCACCCCCCCCCCCCAAACACCCAAACCAAACCCAAGAAUGCGCAUAUAUAAAGUACAAGAGACAUAUACUGAACAUUAUGAGUCAAGUGUGUGAACUCUGAUUUUGAAAGGGAAAAGCUAAGGUUUUAAAACUUUUUAGUAAUUUUCCCCGAGGAAGAAUGAAGUAUUUUCGCUCAAGUAAACAUUGAAAGAAAAAGGAUUGACUCUAGACAUACAUCACCCCAGCCUCUGUUCCACUGAUUGGCAAGAAGCUGCAAAGCCAAAAGAAGAUGAUCAAAUUUAAAAAAGGACGAAAUGGUUUUGAAGAUAUAAUGGCACAAUUUGAAAAUGUCAACAAACCCAAUAGUCCUCUCCAUCCUCAGUUCCCCAUCCGAUGAGUUUAACAGCAUGGCCUCCCAUUAUAUCACCGGUUACAUGCUUGUAAACUCCAGAUUUGUAGUGAGCGAAAUCCUGUGUACGAAAAUAAGCUUGUCAUUCAGUAUAGGAAGGGCAUAUAUAUCGAAUAGGAGAUUAUAACAGAUAGAAUAAAGAAACUAAUCCAAGGCAACAAAUCCUAAUUUCACCAGAAAAGAUAAUGCAAUCUCAAGAACCACGCCGAGGCAAACGAAAGAACAUAAGCAGCCUACUGCUGAAGCAUGUACCACUUGACAAACAGUACAUGUGUGCACAAAUAUCCCAGACUAGGAUAUCAGUAUGUUCAAACAAUGAUCCUUAGAUAGUACUCCUAGAAUUGGAACUUCCAACUGGUACUCCUUCAUUGUAAUGGACAUAAUAUUCUGGAAGGCUAAACGACUACAGAUCACAAAUUGGCAUAAUAAUUCCACAAACAUGAUUGAUGGUAAUACUAGGAUUUAGAAAGGUAAACUUGGUGACCAAAACUUAUUUGAACUCUGUCUAAAAGUUUAUCGACAGCAAUUUGACAGUCGACCAGAGAAAGAAAGUAAUUUCAAUUACAUUUUGUUAUUUCAUUCAUUUCAGCCAAGCAGUAUUAAAAUGCUCAUGUAUGCUUUCUAAAGAACUCUCCAAAAAACAUUUAGAAUAAAGUACUCAUAAUAUUUAACUAAAGUUUCUCAAUGUAUAUUAGAGUUAGCCAGAAAGAAGUCUACCCAAGCUAACAAUAUUAUAGGGUAUAUACUGAAUUGCGUUUUGAUUCUUGUUUGGGAUUGAGGCUCAGUUGUCGUUGCUGUUUUAAAGGUACAUGCAACAUCCAACUUUAUAUCUAAUAUCUUAACAGUACGAAUUGUAUCUCAAAUAUCAGUAUCAUAAUUUUACUCUCCUUCCUCAAUCGUUCUUACCUCGUAAACGGUAAAAGAGACCUCAACUGGUCCAUUCUUGUAAACUUCUGUCAUUAUACUGUGGGGAUCGGAGCUGAUCAUGUAUGCAUUGACGCCAAAAUGCUUGGACUUACUCCAGAGUAAAUUCUGCUUAAUGCACUUCCUGUGACACUUGGGGGUGGGAUAUGCAGGUUCACAUCCAGGGUGGGAACAUCCCUCAUUAUCAAAGUAAGGGUCACACUGCCAGAAUAAAUUUUCUUAGUUAGUUGAGAAUAAGGAUCCAAAGUUUCAUUUUUUGACUGGUGUAUAAGGAUCCAAAGUAUCUGAAAGCUAUAAUCUUUCUGAAGUCCAAUAAGUCAAGAACAAAACCAUAUACCUCAUCUGUGACCACACCCUUGCGGACAAAGUACUUCCAAGCUUGUAACGGAUAUCCACCAUCACAACCAUCCCCACAUAAAAAGCCACAGCAUGCUAAGAGAUCAUUUGCUGACAGAGAGAUAUUCUGCCUCACACAUUACAUUUGAAUCAUCAGUGACAAUAACUAGAAUAAAACUUGCAAGUACUCACAUUAAGAAAUGAGUUUACCAAGCCAUAAUGAAUACAGAAACGAUCAGACAGUGACUCAACAGCACCAAAAGCCCAACAAGAACCACAGUGUCCCUGAAAUACAAAUGAUCAGAUUAUUAGAGUACCCGGAAAGAGAAAUUUGCAAGUUUAGGGAGAAAUACAAAUGAGUGAUACUAGAACCAAGAUAAGUCACCUGAUCUGCGCCAUAGUACCGGUGCAUGACAUCAAAAGAUGGAAAGCAUUAGCACCCCACUAUAGAACAAUAGCACUAAACCAAGCACGAAAAUGAAAAAACUAACCAAGAAUUCUCCCAAUAGUGCUACAGUUAGGCCAAGCCACUCGUGCAUCAAACUCUUGUGGUAACUCCAAAAGUUUCGGAUGAGUUAAAAUAGGAAUGCCCUUUAAAUCACCCUUUCUUGUGGGCUUAACUCCAAGAAGGCGCUUAAAUUGGGAAACCUGUGAAUGAAGGAUACACGUAUUCAUGAUAAGAGUGGUGAAGGAUGUGGCAUUGCACAGAAGAAAGUGCAACGAAGUUUGUUCCAACAAAAUAUACAGCUUUAUGGAAAUCUCACCGUGAAAUUUGAGAAAUGAGGGUUCAGUGCAGCUUUCCAUCCAGCUUUUUCAUUUUCAUUAACCUGUUUAACAAUUGAGUCCUGCAUGACCAUUCACAAAAAGGUCUUUCAACUUUUAGUAAGAACAGAGUACAAUGACAGUAUUAUCUUCUCUAUCAUGAAGGCACUCUUACCUGAAGGAUUGCAGAUUCCGCUUUAGCUUGGGAUAUUGGUUGUUCUGCAACAACCUGCUUGCCAUUUGAAAAAAAUGAGUUUCAGAUUUGAAGAUAAACCUACACCUAUGUUUCCUCUUUCUACCAUUCAAUAGUUCUAUUCCUUUGUCAAGCACUCAAUUAACUUAUACAGUGGGCAGAAAAAAGAGAGGAUCAGAUUGGACAUUUUUGCUCCUUUCUUAGGAUUUAGGCAGGAUAAGGGCAGUUGAUUCAAAUUGGAGAUUUCUGUUAAAGAACUCCUUUUUCCUUCUAUAGUCUUAGAACUAUGCAUAAGUUUGGUGAGUAGAUUCCCAUCUUUUUGGAGCUUCAUCCAUGUACUCAUUAAUAUUAAUUUGUGAGAUUACACCAUCCACCCCCACCCCACCCCACCCCAAAAAGAAAACCUCCACACUGUCAACCCAACAUAUUUCCACUACAUACAGGUUCCAGGCAACAUCUGCACACACAAGACUAUUCCCCUCCCCCCCCCGAAAAAAAAACCAAGUAGACCUCCUCCUCAUGUAUUGCAGGCAACAUAAACUGAAGCUUCAAGAAACAUUUAAAAGAUUUCCCUUUUAGGAGUACAUUAGUAGAUCAACUAAUUUAUCAUCAUGAUUACCGAGAUUAAGCUAACCCAAAAGCUAAAAAAAUGGAAGAAAGCAGAAGAAGUCAAGAAAAACACAAUAGAUGGGGCUUUAAUCUGCUACAAUCACUCAAUCCAUCUAUUCAUCUAAAGCUAUAUAAACCACACCAACCAGCCAAAAACACAAAAUAUGAAGAAUCAAGGAUCGAACCUGUAAAAUAAGGAUAGAGGCACCAAUCAAAAGCAAGAGAGCGGCUAAGGACAUGUGAUUCAUCGCCAUAUUUGGCUUUUCUCUGGAGUUCUCCAAUUGUGGUGUGAAGAUGCAGGAACUCCCAGAAAUAUAUAGAUACAGGAAAAGAUAGAUCAAUUAUUGGCCCAUCUCUUUUGACGUAUAAUAAAAGUUUAUAACUUUAUUUAUCAGCUACAGAGAUGAUUGUUAUUGAUCCUCUUUAGGAUAUUUUGAAUUAAAGAAUUGGAUUAAAUUGGAAACAUUCAGUUCCCAAGUUCGGCCAAACUUAGGUUAGGACCACGUGUGGUUUUGUUAUUGGACGUAAGGGAGUACAAUAAUUUUGUAAUUUUCAAGAUAGAUUAACGAUUGAGAUCUCUUAUCAAGCGGUUGGCCGAAUUAGAAAAGAGAUUCCUUCAAGUUGGAUUCCAUUUUUUAUACUGUUCCUUUGGAAUGAAACUAUCCACUUGGCAAUAUUUAUUGAAGAAUGGGCGAUACUCUAAUACAGAAAAGAUAAUGUAGUGGGUCUCGUUUAAUUUUAAAAAAAUUACUUCAAAAUUUGAAUAUUUAACUAGGCGAAAAGACAUGAAUAUCCACUUAGUUGAGAUAAAUUAUGACUUUGUCAUGUUGAUAUCUAGGACUCGGUAGCGUACGCAGAAUUUUUCGUACGCGGUGUCGCAUGUACAUAAAUAAAAAAGUAAAUUAUUAUUUAAUAUUAUUUUCCCACAAAUUGAAGAGCCUUGGCCCGAUGGUUUAGUGAAUAUUAUUGCAAAAUGAGGUGUAGGUUCUAUUCUCCUUUACCUCAAAUUUUUAACAAAAAUAUUCAAAAAAUAGAAUGUCUGGGUCCAACCUUCAACUCACCACCUUUACAUGUCCAAUACAAGCUUAAUCAAUGGACAAAGAAGUGUUCUUUGCUAAGAAGCGGUAUCAUUACUAUAUAUUGCUUCAUUUUUGUAGAAUUUAAAUAUAAAUAUUUAAUAUUUUUUUCCGAUGAAACGGUGUCGGAUGACACCGCUUACUCUCAUGUGUGUCCGUCCCUGCUAAGACUCAUUUUACUUUAGAUCCAAUAUUCGCUAAGGCACCAUUAGUUUGCACUUAGUGAAGGUAUGAAUCUUAAUCAUUUAAAUUUUUCGUUAUUGGUUAUGUUUGGUUUUUAGUCUGAUCUUAAAUAUUCAAAUGUUAAUUAUUAAGUUUGUCUGUUUUUCCUUUGACAGCCAUAUAAUGAGAUUAAAUAGAUAUAAAAAUAAUUAAAAUUUAUAGCAAAGUUUUAACAUUAUUAAAAUGUUGUCCAUUCAAGUUUUUUAUAAAGGUGGUAUUUCACCACCACUCAAUCCACUUUAUACAGUUAAGAAUCCUUUUAGAAUAGAAAAUUUAACUUAAAUACCGGGCUUACUCAAUUGUUUAAACUAAAAAUUGUCGGUCGUCAUCACAAACUACCACCGUUAAAUACUAUUGUCAAUUGUCAUCACAAUUAGCUACGAACCUCAAUCACCACCAUCAAUUACCACUACCAGUUAGUACUCACAUGCCAUAACCGCUAUUGUUAGUCAUCACUACCACCACCACUAUAUAAAUUUAUUUUUCUAAUAUUUAUUUGAUACAGUAUUAGAUUAAUUAAUAUUUUAUUAAAUUUAUUAUUCAUUAAUUUUCAAUAAAGACAAAAUUUGUACACUCCAAUAUUGAAAAAAUAAACCGCCUUAAUUAUUUAACAUUCGAAUCUUAUUGCAAUAUAUUAAUAUUUAAAAUUGUAUUCAGACUCAAUCGUUUUAAUCUCAAUAAAACAAGCAACGAUUUGUAUUCGAUAAUUUCUAGCUUUAAAUGCCUAAAUUAUAUAAAUUGAGAUGGAACUAAAUCGAGUGAUAUGAAGAAGGAUUGAUAUAAUUGACCCUAACUAGCCUCGAAUUAAGACAUAGUCAUUUUUGUUGUUUGUUGAUUAUGAAAAUAUGCAUCUUUCCAAACUCCUAAACUAGAAAAGCACAAAAAACUCGAUAAAGUGAGGAAUAUUUCCAGUUUGUAAACAUAACAUAUGUUUUUUUUCUCUUUUUUAAAAUUUUAUAAAAUUCUUAUAGAUGGAAAAUUUUCAUAUCUGAAUUCGACUUACCUUUUCAUCGUCUUACCUUUUAAAAAACAGCUAAAUCUUGUAGGGAGUAAGUAGUAAUCUAGUCAACAGAACAUAAGCGGUACAUACUCUUAACUAGCAAAUUGAAAAAAUAUUUUUUCCCAGAAGUCCUGACAAACAAGAAAAUCACCAUUUGUACAUAUGUUUUCCUCUAAAUUUGGGCCAAAGUUGUUAAAUAAAAUUGUGUAACUUGUGUGAACAACUUGGAUGGCAUGGCCACUGAUUAAGCUCGGAGGACUUAAUUAUUACUCCUAACAAAUAAAAUUAUUCUUAAGUCAUAAAACUGAAAACUGAAAUUGACAAACACAACUGAAAGGUGAGAAUUGGAAAGUGUUAAUUAUGAAUUAUACAGAUAAUUAAAUCCACGAGAUAAAUAUGCUAGUUCAUAAGUUUUUCUCGUCUCCAGUAUACUUUGCUACAGUAUUAUGCAGUGUCCUGUUGAAGUAGCAGCAUUUUACAUUGAGGCAUCAAGGAAAGCAUUAGAGACAUCAUCUAAUUCCACAUUCAGAUUUUUGGCUGAAGGCAAUCCAGCCACCACAUUAUGUU
rnacentral:lncRNA from 1 species